rnacentral:lncRNA from 1 species
GCAGCAUCUUUCCGAAGGAAGAGCAGCACGUUGUCCCCACAUAGUGGGCAGGAGUCAGAUGCGUGUGGACCUUGGCCCUCUGUGGGGUUCACCCAGAUUUUAAAUCCAUUUUUAAAAAUUAAUUUGAAUUUCAGAUAUCCGAAAGUUGGACCCUCUUUUUUUGAGAGCAGACGGGAAAGCGUGGGAAAAGGCGUUCCUUCCGGCUCGUACAGAAGGAACACCCCCACCCGAUCCCCCCGCCAGCAGCCGAAAGAAGGUGGAGAAGAUUCAAGAGUUGGGGGGAAAGGCCCUGGGCUAGAGUCCCCUUCCAGUUCCCGCUUCUCUGCAAACUCCUGUCCUCUUGCCUCGGUCCCCUUGCCGCGCAGGGGAGCGGGACGGAGGAAACUGCGGACUCCAGCCCCGACCAUCCCGCCCCGCCGCGCUUCUCUGCGGGCCGAGGCUGCCGGCGCGGAGCCCCAUUGCCGGCGGGGCAGGCGGGCGCGCGGAGGGCAGGGCGCGGGCCAGCGGGGCCUCGCGGCGCGUCCACAUGUGGCGGGGCGGCGGGGGGGCCGCGGCGCCGGGGGGGAGGGCCCACAUCUCGGCGAAGUUCCCGGAUGGUCGCAGCCUCCUGGCGCUGAGCGCUUUUCCUGCCCGCCCGGCACAGCCCUGCGGACCCCGGGAGAAGUUUCCCAGAAAAAAUGCCCAGCGCGGCGCGGGGCUGUGGAGUCGUCUGGAGCCGCUGCGCGGAGUUUUGCAUCCCUUGCUUUGGCUGAGAAGAGGAUAAAACCUAGAAAGAAGUCUAAGCAAGACCGAGUGUGGUGGCUCACUCCUGUAACCCCAGCACUUUGGGAGGCCAAGGAUCGAAACAAGCCAAGGGCCCCAUGCUGGGAAGAACGCCACAGACCAGGCAGGCAAAUGGAUGUCUCUGACUAGAGGGAGCUGCGCUGUAUCACGGAGAAGACAGAAGUUCCCAAGCAAGACUGAGGCUGAAGUUCCGACACAGCAUGGUCAAAGGAGUUCCUUGAGAUGAUGUGUCCUUAUGCAGAACCCAGAGGUCCAUGGGGGCUGAAUGAGUUUACGGAAUGAAGCCCUGUUGUAUCGCUCUAAGCAGGCAGUGUUACGGAGACUUCAGUACAAUGCGACAGGAGGUCUGAUGAGAAAAGGAAAAUCUCUAGACCCUGAGUCCCCAUAUGGGACCCAAUCCCAAGGGACCCUGAACUCUCCACCACUUGAAAAUAACAAGUGGGUUACUUUCAAGGCCAGAAAUCUGCCUGCCUCAACUAGCAGGUCCAAGUGUGAAGUGGAGCUAACCUUGGUAGGGAGCUGCAUUACGUUUUAGCCAGUGAGGGGCAUAGUGAGGAAUCAGGACCAGUUGGCACCUUUUCUCUUGCUGCAUACCAUGGUUUUGGCACUGGAAUUUGUAAAAACUUGCAUCUUUUUGAGGCCCCCAUAUGCUGAUGCCUGAAGGCCGAUGUCCUCUUGCCCACCUUCACACUGUCCCUGGUUUGGGAUGUCCAUCAAUCCUGACAGAUAGUGAAACCAUCUUAAAAAAUUAAGUUACUUUCAGGUUAAGACCUGAUAUUGACCAGCUCAUUUACUGGAUUCCUUGUGCAUUGCGUCCUCUGUUAAAGGCAGAAAGGUAACAUGAAAAGGGCAGUAAAUGAGGAGUUCACCAGUUGUAGUCUAAUCCCAGCUUUGUUGCCCAGUAGUCAAGCUGGCCUUGACAACAACACUCUGCAGAAGUAGAGUAGAGAAUCUGCAGGAACAGGGAGAAGAUGGUGGCCAGCAUGUCUGUGAUGCCUCUGAUGGGACACACCAUUAACAUCUCCACAUAAGGUCCAUCCUAACAAUGCAAUCAACAUUGUAACUUGUCAUUCAGAGGCCUGAGGAGCCGGAGCCUGAUAUUUUACCAUGCCUGUUUUUGACUAAGUAUUUAAUAAGGGAAAGACAUAUAUAUCCAUCACAUUUCUCACUUAGCUAAAAUAGUGUAUGUGUAAUAUAUAAAGAUCAAUUUAUAUUUUAGCAAACUCAUGGAGUUCUUUGUUUAUACUUGAAUCUCACUGUAUACUUGCUAAAGAAGGAAUAUUAGCUGAAACACUGAAGUCUUUCUAUUGCACCGAGGUUGUUUUUUGUAAUAGUAUUUGUGGAAAUGGGAUUUGAGCCAGAUGCUGUCCAGGUACACUGGGCAGAGUUUAUUUACAUCCAAUAAAAAUCACACUACCUCACUAUAUGUAAGCACACAUUGUUUAUAUUCACUUUUAUUCUGUAUUAGUGCAUAACCUUGAAACCAUCUGUCCUCACCAUCUAUUAUUGGGGGAACCCGCCCCUGAUAAUUAAACAUUAUUUCACGUAGGUUCUUUUCUGUUUCCCUAAGUGUUGGCCGGUCUGAGAAAUAAAGGGAAAGAGUAUAAAAGAGAGAAAUUUUAAAGCUGGGUAUCCGGGGGAGACAUCUCGUAUUGGCAGGUUCCAUGAUGCCCCUGAAGCCGCAAACCAGCAAGUUUUUAUAGUGAUUUUCAAAGGGGAGGGAGUGUACAAAUAGGGUGUGGGUCACAGAGAUCACAUGCUUCACAAGGUAAUAAAAUAUUACAGGGCAAAUGGAGGCAGGGCAAGAUCACAGGACAGGGUGAAAUUAAAAUUGCUAAUGAAGUUUCGGGCAUGCAUUGUCACUGAUAACAUCUUAUCAGGAGAGAGGGUGUGAGAGCAGACAACCGGU